CAGCCGCCACGGUAAUACGAAGGGGGCUAGCGUUGUUCGGAAUUACUGGGCGUAAAGCGCACGUAGGCGGACAUUUAAGUCAGGGGUGAAAUCCCGGGGCUCAACCCCGGAACUGCCUUUGAUACUGGGUGUCUAGAGUAUGGAAGAGGUGAGUGGAAUUCCGAGUGUAGAGGUGAAAUUCGUAGAUAUUCGGAGGAACACCAGUGGCGAAGGCGGCUCACUGGUCCAUUACUGACGCUGAGGUGCGAAAGCGUGGGGAGCAAACAGGAUUAGAUACCCCCGUAGUCCCUGUCUCUUAUAA
rnacentral:rRNA from 1 species